UACGUAGGGGGCAAGCGUUGUCCGGAAUCAUUGGGCGUAAAGAGCGUGUAGGCGGCUCGGUAAGUCCGCUCUGAAAGCCCGGGGCUCAACCCCGGGAGGCGGGCGGAUACUGUCGGGCUAGAGUCCGGAAGAGGCGAGUGGAAUUCCUGGAGUAGCGGUAAAAUGCGUGGAUCUCAGGAGGGACACCAAUGGCGAAGGCAGCUUCUUGGCUCAUUCCUGACGUUGAGGCACGAAAGCGUGGGGAGCAAACAGG
rnacentral:rRNA from 1 species